UACGUAGGGGGCAAGCGUUGUCCGGAUUUAUUGGGCGUAAAGAGCUCGUAGGCGGCUCGGUAAGUCGGAUGUGAAACCUCCAGGCUCAACCUGGAGACGCCAUCUGAUACUGCCGUGGCUUGAGUCCGGUAGAGGAGCAGGGAAUUCCUGGUGUAGCGGUGAAAUGCGUAGAUAUCUGGAGGAACACCGGUGGCGAAGGCGGCAUCCUGGACCGACACUGACGCUGAGGAGCGAAAGCCAGGGGAGCAAACGGG
rnacentral:rRNA from 1 species